AAUGUGUUUUUGUUUGUUUGUUUAGAUUGAGAGUAUCUGCAGUAUCAAGGGAAUCAGCAAUUAUGCAUGCCCCUGCAAAGUCAGUAUACCUUUAUUUAGCACUAUAUCUAUACUAUCUAUAUCUGAAUUGAGAUAUUGAUGUUAUCUGUCCUCUUCAUUGACUGUAAAGGAAGACUAAAGUGACUAGAUGGCUUUAUGAGCUCCAUUGGGGUGCAUUUAUGCAGAUGGAUUUCAAUCACGGUUGCUAUGGAGGUAAUCUUCAUUUUGUGUGGUUUCUGAUUUAAAAGUUUUUACAACUUCAUGAUCUGAAAAAAAUCUUGGCAACUUUAUUUUCCUGAUUGAGGUUAUUUGUCACUCAUCUCUUCUUGCUACAAAGCUUUUUAAUCUGGUGAAUGGAUGAUUAGAAAUAUGUUAUAAAUAGUGUAGUAUAUAUAUGUGUGUAUAUAUAUAUGUAUAUAUAUGAUUAGAAAUAUAGUAUACAUAAACAUAUAUGCAUAUAUAUAUCUAAUGCUGGAUGUCUAAUGCUGGAUAAAUCCUGUUUCUGGAUCAUUCAAUGUCAAACAUGGCGUUUUAUGCCUCUUAAGUACUAUUUUCUGAUUACAGAUAUCAUAAACCCUUAAUGGUGUAGAUCGUUCUGUUUCUAGGGGAAAAUGCUGCUUGCAUCUAUGACCACAUACCCCUGCUUCAUGUUCUACCUUCCAAUGGCCUGAUAAUUUUUCUGUUCUUUUCUCUGGGGAACAAAUGCGAGUGAAAGGGGGAAUGAAGCUAAUUAACUGGCUGCAUCAUAAUUUAACAAAUAUAAUAUAUUGUAAAUUGGUAUAUUAUGAUCCUACAACUCUUAUAGUCAAACUGGCUGAGCUAAUGGAGAAAGCUAGUUUUUA